CGAACGGACGAGAAGCUUGCUCCUCUGAUGUUAGCGGCGGACGGGUGAGUAACACGUGGAUAACCUACCUAUAAGACUGGGAUAACUUCGGGAAACCGGAGCUAAUACCGGAUAAUAUUUUGAACCGCAUGGUUCAAAAGUGAAAGACGGUCUUGCUGUCACUUAUAGAUGGAUCCGCGCUGCAUUAGCUAGUUGGUAAGGUAACGGCUUACCAAGGCAACGAUGCAUAGCCGACCUGAGAGGGUGAUCGGCCACACUGGAACUGAGACACGGUCCAGACUCCUACGGGAGGCAGCAGUAGGGAAUCUUCCGCAAUGGGCGAAAGCCUGACGGAGCAACGCCGCGUGAGUGAUGAAGGUCUUCGGAUCGUAAAACUCUGUUAUUAGGGAAGAACAUAUGUGUAAGUAACUGUGCACAUCUUGACGGUACCUAAUCAGAAAGCCACGGCUAACUACGUGCCAGCAGCCGCGGUAAUACGUAGGUGGCAAGCGUUAUCCGGAAUUAUUGGGCGUAAAGCGCGCGUAGGCGGUUUUUUAAGUCUGAUGUGAAAGCCCACGGCUCAACCGUGGAGGGUCAUUGGAAACUGGAAAACUUGAGUGCAGAAGAGGAAAGUGGAAUUCCAUGUGUAGCGGUGAAAUGCGCAGAGAUAUGGAGGAACACCAGUGGCGAAGGCGACUUUCUGGUCUGUAACUGACGCUGAUGUGCGAAAGCGUGGGGA
rnacentral:rRNA from 1 species